CACCUAGUCUGUGCCCAGAGUCCUCAAAGCCAACCAGGAGAGCACCAGCCCCUAACCCACACUGCCACAGAGCUGCUGAACACCUGGGACUGAGACCCUACCACUCAAAAGAAGGCAACCAAGGAGGCAACACUGGACCUGAAGCUGCAAGAAGAACCAGCUCUAAUCAGAAGACAGAACGGGAAGGAAACACCCAUCAGGCUAUUCUGGUCUAAUCCCUAUUGUUAUAGGACCCGUGCUUCCAGAGGUAGAAGUUGUUAUGGAGAGAUGAAUAUCACUGUGGGUAGAGAGUGCUAUGGUGGAAGAAUGGCCCAUUAUAGCUGAUGAUAGCCAGAGAAGAACACACCUAUCCAGGCUCCAAGGACUGCCUUGAGAACAUGUCACAUCUGGCCAACUUCUACUGUUUGGGGUAAAAUGAGAAAAGCUGGUGGACAAAUCAUGGAAGAUUCACCUUGAAUUUGGAAAAUUAACCUCUUCUGGGGCCAUAAGUGGUUCCAUGUUAUUGGGUGAAAAUAAAACCUAUGG